rnacentral:misc_RNA from 1 species
UACAGAACCCAAGUCUACCAG